rnacentral:misc_RNA from 1 species
UCCGGCUUCUCGCCGGCAGUCCUCUUCGACAGCCAUGCACCACCUGUGAACGCCCCCGAAGGACACCACAUCUCUGCGGCUUUAGCGGCCAUGUCAAACCCAGGUAAGGUUCUUCGCGUUGCAUCGAAUUAAUCCGCAUGCUCCGCCGCUUGUGCGGGCCCCCGUCAAUUCCUUUGAGUUUUAGCCUUGCGGCCGUACUCCCCAGGCGGGGCGCUUAAUGCGUUAGCUACGGCACAGGAAACCGGAGAGGCCCCCCACACCUAGCGCCCAACGUUUACAGCGUGGACUAC